UUUUGGCGCGAUUUUGACAAUUUCUGGCGCAUUCCACUUAUUUACUUUAGCGGGCAUAGGGCAAUGGUUUACUAACGGGAGAUGUGAUGAAUUGCAGCAGCAAUACUUGAAAUAUAAGGAAGAAGUGAAGCAAUUAUGAUACCUAUUAUUUUUUAUAAUGACAGAAGGAACGCGGAAGAAAAAACAUUUUGUGCAGCAUGUGAAAACAAGGAAAUAGAAUGAAAGAAGGGCUGCUACUUUUCAUGCUCCCGAAACCAGCCAUCUCAUCAUCAUAGCAUGUUGCAUUGGAGCUCUGCUGGAGUUUGCUGAUGACAGGAUGCUGAAGGGCUGAAGCUGGUAGCUCUGGCAGGAGUACAAGUGUCCACCAGCUCAAGAUCCGACGCCGCCGUUCGGCACUCCGCGGAGACGGGGACGGCGGUCAUGGUUGAAGACACCGCAUUUCCCGCCUGGACUGUCCGGUCGGAGACUGGUAAUCCCUCCGGUGAGCCGCACACCGUGGAGCUACUGCACCGCGCGUGUCCACCCGCAGCGCAGUGCCAGCAACGGUGCCGUGAGUGCGACAUCUGCGUGCAUAUGACGCAGUGCGACUGUCACGACUCGCGGCUCAGUGUUCUGUCUGUUACAGUGCGGUUCGCGCUCGUUUUAGCGUGGUGCUCUGUUGUAUAUAACCACCUUGAUGGAGACCUAUGUGCUGCCGCUUGAGUUUCAAUGUACAUUUUUAUGCAUCAAACUAGCGUAAGUAAAUGGCUGUCAGAGGCCAAUUUGAAGCGCAAUUAGUACCCAUAACCCAGCUGGGUUGAGCGAGUCAUGUGACUAGUCCCGAUGAACGUACUGUUUCGAUGUCGUCAGUCGUAGACUUUUGUAAACCAUUCGUUUCGGAGCUCUGUGUUGUGUUGUUCGGGACCGCAGUUGUUUGAGCAGUUUACUUUAUGCGUCGUGCGCUGACAGAACGCUGGUCGUACACAAGUCAUGUGUUUCCUUUCGCCCCUAAUGUGUUACUGCGGUACCUAUGCAGUUGUAAUGUGUCUCGAGACACUAACUGGUCGCACUUGGUUGUGAAAAUGACACUAGCUGGUCGCACUUGGUUUCAAACUGCGCUUGGAAAUCGUGCAAUUUUAUUUGCAUUUUGCAAUGCAAUUUUAUUGCCGUUACCGUAUUGGUAGAAGUGUCAGAAGUUGGCCAUUUGAUGCGUUGUCACUUGUCAGACGUUGUUGCCUUAGUACUGACGAAUUGAUGGGCCGCGUUUGUGUUCCUGUUAAGAAACGGAUCUCAAUAUAAGGUGAUUCAGAGGUAGGAACCUGAAUGCAUUC
rnacentral:lncRNA from 1 species